rnacentral:tRNA from 1 species
AUACCUAUAGCUCAAUAGGAUAGAGCAACAGCCUUCUAAGCUGUGUGUUGGGAGUUCAAGUCUCUCUGGGGUGUU